UACGUAGGGUGCGAGCGUUAAUCGGAAUUACUGGGCGUAAAGCGUGCGCAGGCGGCGCGUUAAGACAGGUGUGAAAGCCCCGAGCUUAACUUGGGAAUUGCGCUUGUGACUGGCGUGCUGGAGUGUGGCAGAGGGAGGUGGAAUUCCACGUGUAGCAGUGAAAUGCGUAGAGAUGUGGAGGAACACCGAUGGCGAAGGCAAUCCCCUGGGCCUGCACUGACGCUCAUGCACGAAAGUGUGG
rnacentral:rRNA from 1 species